rnacentral:rRNA from 1 species
UAAGUUAUCCACCUGGGGAGUACGACCGCAAGGUUGAAACUCAAAGGAAUUGACGGGGGCCCGCACAAGCGGAGGAACAUGUGGUUUAAUUCGAUGAUACGCGAGGAACCUUACCCGGGCUCGAACGGUGCAUGAAUAUACGAGAGAUUGUAUAGUCCUUCGGGACAUGUAUCGAGGUGCUGCAUGGUUGUCGUCAGCUCGUGCCGUGAGGUGUCGGCUUAAGUGCCAUAACGAGCGCAACCCUUGUCAUUAGUUGCCAUCAGGUCAAGCUGGGGACUUUAAUGAGACUGCCACCGUAAGGUGUGAGGAAGGGGGGGAUGACGUCAAAUCAGCACGGCCCUUAUGUCCGGGGCGACACACGUGUUACAAUGGGAGGUACAGAGGGCAGCUAUCCGGUGACGGAAUGCUAAUCUCCAAAACCUUUCUCAGUUCGGAUUGGAGUCUGCAACUCGACUCCAUGAGUGGUGGAUUCGCUAGUAAUCGCGCAUCAGCCAUGGCGC